GCAGAGGCCCGAGCGCGGCUCCGCUCGGCUCCUGUGCGGCUGCCGCGGAGCCGGGGCCCGCAGCGAUGGCGGCCGCGCUGGGGCCGUGGCUGCUGCCCUUGGCCUUGGCCUUGUGGCCGCCAGGGCUCUGGGCACAGCCGAGGCUGCAGGAGGCCGGCGGAGGGCUGCGAGCGCCCGGGGACUCCGUCACCCUCUCCUGCCGAGGAUCCGGCAGCAAAUUCAAGAAAUACGAAAUUCGCUGGUACCGUCAGGCACCCGGAGGCAGCCUGGAGUGGGUGUCUCUCAUCAACUUGUCGGGCAAUAUAAAGAAGUACGGAGCAGCAGUGGAGGGUCGGGCCGCAGUCUCACGGGACAGUUACCAGUCUCAGCUAUCUCUGCUUCUGUGGGCUCUGCAACCCAGCGACUCUGCCCGCUACUUCUGCUCUAUUCACACGGGGACAGGAAACCCAGCUGAGCUUUAACACAAACCUGGCACGGGGGAUUUAGAUGUAAGGAGGUUUAGUCACCAGGGGCCAGGACUUAAUGUGUCUUAAGUCUUUUCCCAAGGAGUCAGAGCAAAAGCAGGUGUUCCUGGCUUUAACUGCACACUGACAGGAUUCUAGUUUAGUGGAAAUUUAAAAUAGAGUAAAUAUAAAUAAGCACAGAUAUAAAUAAAACAGAGUACAAUUGUGAGGGACAACAACAUCAAAAACCAUUAAAACAAGCUCACUUCAUCCCAGAUUUCCUUCAAUCCCACAUUCCUGAUUUCUCUAUCUCUUCUGUCCAAAAGGGACGGGGCCAGUGGGAAAGGGGUGUAGGAUCAAUUGCCACACUUCUCAUAUGGCUCCUUCGGAAUCAGCCUGCUUUAACCUGGCUUCUCCACAGGCUCCGCUUCCCUCAGGUCACAAACCUUUGUAUCUCCAAGCAUGGAGACUCCACAAGGUGCCUGGACAACCUGAACUGGUGCUUGGUUGUCCUCACACUGUGAGGCUGGACUGUGUCGCCAUAUGCCAUAACUCCAAAAAGCCC